rnacentral:rRNA from 1 species
UACGAAGGGGGCUAGCGUUGCUCGGAAUCACUGGGCGUAAAGGGUGCGUAGGCGGGUCUUUAAGUCAGGGGGGAAAUCCUGGAGCUCAACUCCAGAACUGCCUUUGAUACUGAGGAUCUUGAGUACGGGAGAGGUGAGUGGAACUGCGAGUGUAGAGGUGAAAUUCGUAGAUAUUCGCAAGAACACCAGUGGCGAAGGCGGCUCACUGGCCCGUAACUGACGCUGAGGCGCGAAAGCGUGGGGAGCAAACAGG